UACGAAGGGGGCUAGCGUUGCUCGGAAUCACUGGGCGUAAAGGGUGCGUAGGCGGGUCUUUAAGUCAGGGGUGAAAUCCUGGAGCUCAACUCCAGAACUGCCUUUGAUACUGAGGAUCUUGAGUUCGGGAGAGGUGAGUGGAACUGCGAGUGUAGAGGUGAAAUACGUAGAGAUUGGGAAGAACACCAGUGGCGAAGGCGGCUAUCUGGACGGUUUCUGACACUAAGACUCGAAAGCGUGGGGAGCAAACAGG
rnacentral:rRNA from 1 species